rnacentral:rRNA from 1 species
ACUGCAGUCUGCAACUCGACUGCACGAAGCUGGAAUCGCUAGUAAUCGCGGAUCAGCACGCCGCGGUGAAUACGUUCCCGGGCCUUGUACACACCGCCCGUCACACCAUGGAAGUCGGGAGUGCCUGAAGUGCGUGAGCGCAAGCAGCGCCCUAAGGUAAAACCGGUGACUGGGGCUAAGUCGUAACAAGGUAGC